rnacentral:rRNA from 1 species
UACGUAGGGUGCAAGCGUUGUCCGGAAUUAUUGGGCGUAAAGAGCUCGUAGGCGGUCUGUCGCGUCUGCUGUGAAAACUCGGGGCUUAACCCCGGGCCUGCAGUGGGUACGGGCAGACUAGAGUGCGGUAGGGGAGACUGGAAUUCCUGGUGUAGCGGUGAAAUGCGCAGAUAUCAGGAGGAACACCGGUGGCGAAGGCGGUUCUCUGGGACGGUACUGACGCUGAGACGCGAAAGCGUGGGGAGCGAACAGG